ACAAGUGUCCGAAGGAUCGCGCUGUCGUUUUUUAGUUUAUGGUCUAUGUUAUGAACGUUUUUGAGUAUCUGUAGAAUUCGUGUUUGAAUUCCGAGGUUUUUAUUUAAUUUGAUCAAUUGUUUAUUAGUGUUUCAUUUUGAGUAAGUGAAUAUUGUUCUGUGGAUUAUCAUGACAUGAAGUUCCGCGAUGAUUCCCAAAUGAGCGAGCGAACGCGCCCGUGACUUCCGUUUCCGGCGGCGCGCCUGCGCAGCAUCCGCGCAUGAGCACUAGACCGACGCGGCUGUCAAUACUGUCACAGGUUGGCCAACAAGUGCAAGCCUGUGUGACAUCGGAAGCGGAAGCUGCUCCCACGCGGGGAGGGUUCCGGCGCACGCGCACGCCGUGAUCUCUGACGUCACUUCCGGACGGGCCUUGAUUGAGAGUGAGUUCAUCAGUAGCCUCGUGUUCGGCGUCGGCGACGCGUGCCCGGAAGCGUCACGGCCGCGUGAAGACCGGAAAUGGGCAGGAUGACCGGAUCCUAUCUCCGCUCUCCUGCCUACCUGCCGGCCAUGUUGUGACGUCACCUCGCCCCGGCACAUGCUUCGCACAAUACCACACUCUGGUUAGAUUUUGGAGUUGUUCU